ensembl:snRNA U6 U6 spliceosomal RNA
GGGCACGCAGCCCGUGCACUACACUUGGGACCAGACCGAGAAGAUUAGCGUGGCCCCCACGCGAGGGUGAUGUGCAAAUUUGUGACGUGUAUGAAACGUAU